AAACAUGUCUUCGAGCCCCUGCUCCUAAGGCUGCUGCUAUGGAGCCCGGGCCGCGCCGGGAGGGAUUCCGGUUCAGGGCGCUGCGGGAAACGGCGGCACCUUCCGUAUUUGAAAAGGAGACAU
rnacentral:ncRNA from 1 species